CCGGGAGGAUUUUAUUUCCAAAUAUAAAAUUCAUGCCAUGCUCACAGGCAGAACCUUAGAAUAGUCAUAAUGAUCUAAUGACAGUAUUACCAUGGAAGGCUGCUACUAAUACCUUGAACUACUGCCGUUCUAUACAGAUCCAGGGAUAUGAUUUCAAAGCUCAUGUGGAAUGAAGACUGCCCCACCUGAAAGCAAUCUACCCAAGUAAAAAGGAGAAGGAAGAAAAGAAAAGGGCAGAAUGCAACUGAAGCCCACAAUUUGGGAUAUCUAGGAUGGGGAGGAAGAAGAGGAAAUAAGAGAAAUUCCAAUUACAUGUGCACAGAGAGGAGACAGAAGGAGUCAAGAGAGAACAGGCCAGCAUAGCUUGUGAUCUGGAUCAGGAAGGUGUAGCCACUUGAAUGACCCAUAAAUGGAGACCAUGCAGGAGUGAGGAGGCUCAGAAGCCUACAUAUAUUUGGUACAUGGAAGAUGACAUUUUUUUCCUAAGAAAUUCCAACAACUGCCUUCCAAGGAUAAAAAUACUUGUCCCUUAUUUGUUCUCCUUGCUCUCCGAACAAUAUAAAUGCAG
ensembl:lincRNA